rnacentral:lncRNA from 1 species
CUUAUUUCCCCGCCAGAUUGAUGUGUCUUUCAACAUCAUUGAAAUUUGUCAGUUUAGAUCAUAAUUUCUUAUUGUUCUUUAUUUGCCUUUAUUCUCUGAGGUAUUUACAUAAUGAGCACUGUAUUAUUUUCUCUUGCUUCAAUAUUUUCUUCAUGGCACACUUUAUGAAAUGAUCUAUUAAAGAAUCAUUUCUAACUUUAAUAGUUAUAA